UACGUAGGGGGCAAGCGUUGUUCGGAAUUACUGGGCGUAAAGCGCGCGUAGGCGGUUUGAAAAGUCAGAUGUGAAAGCCCCGGGCUCAACUUGGGAACUGCAUUUGAUACUGUCAGACUAGAGUACAGAAGAGGUGACUGGAAUUCCCAGUGUAGCGGUGAAAUGCGUAGAUAUCAGGAGGAACACCGGUGGCGAAGGCGGGUCUCUGGGCCAAAACUGACGCUGAGGAGCGAAAGCGUGGGGAGCGAACAGG
rnacentral:rRNA from 1 species